UCCAGCCCAAACACGCUUAACUGU
rnacentral:siRNA from 1 species